GCAGAGAUGACAUCCCAAUCAAAGCAUAUAUUAGACUGCUGACACCAGUGAUGUUGGGAGU
rnacentral:snoRNA from 1 species